CACUGCAUUGCUUAUCACUGCGCAGGCUCAGUAUGUUCCCGCGUGGCCACGGUCUAGAGCAUGCGCAGUGGGAGCGACCCUGGGAAGUCGCUGUUCUUUUCGGCUCCACAAAAGCAUCUCAGAAGAGGAUUUGCAGAUCGGAAACACAAACCAAAUGAUCUAAGCAUGCCUUUUUGUUCAUUCAGCACUGAAUAUUAUCGGCCUUUAAAGGUAAGUAUUGAGUAAAAUAAAAGUAGCAUAAAAUUC